AUGGUUCCCGGAUCCACCCUGGAGGCUCUCCGUGGCUCCGCCCGAUUCCAAUCCUGCACCAGCCUCCAGGGCGCCCACACUCCCUCCCCGAUGAUACGGUUACGGCUCUGUUGGUGUCAAACACUGACUGAGUCUGAGUCAGUCGUCAUUAAACCUGGAGGAUCUCACAGACUCACCUGUACAUUCUCUGGAUGUCUGGAGUGGCUGGCAUACAUCUCUGGUGGUAGUAGUUAUAUAUACUACUCUCAGUCUGUUCAGGGACGCUUCACCAUCUCCAGAGACAACAGCAAGAAACAGAUGUAUCUGCAGAUGAAUAAUAUGAAGAAUGAAGACACUGCUGUAUAUUAUUGUGCAAGACAGACACAGCGAUGA